rnacentral:misc_RNA from 1 species
CGACCUAGUCGACUACAUCCUACUGUAUCCUACGCAAUGGAGGUGUGUAUGAUAGGUCACACCCUACCCCACUUUCCCAUUCUUCUAUACCUUACCCCUCUACCCCCUCUCUACGUCACCCGUGCACACACACAUUCACGCCUGUCUAUGCGUCCCCCUCCUCCAAGAGUCGAAUUUCUCUCUCUCUCUCGUCAGUAGUCUACUUGCCCAUGGAGAGUAUAUAUAUUAGGCUCUGAUCUAUAUACAAUAUAUAUAUACACAUAUACAUAUGCAUAAAAAAUCCAGAGGGCACACAUCAAUGUAUACGGAUUCAUAUACCUAUGUAUACACACAACUUGACCUUAGUGGACAGCGGGGUGGUCAACUCGUCGACGAACAAACAAUCCACGGCGACCACAGCGACUACAGCGACCACAGCUAGGUAGCGCGCAGUCUCGCCUCCCGCCCCCCGCCCUGCUGCUCAGGGUCUAGUGUGUGUGUGCGUGUGUGGUUGUACGUCUCGCGAAUGGAGGCUUGUAUCUCCGAACAUACACGCCCGUGCUCUUGCCUGCCUUUCCUCCUCAUGCUCUCCGUCUCCAUGCUGCCCCCCUCCCCGCAUUUUUGGCCUGUUUUGUACGAGAGCUUGACAUGCCCUUCC